rnacentral:rRNA from 1 species
AGGACGAACGCUGGCGGCGUGCUUAACACAUGCAAGUCGAGCGGAAAGGCCCUUCGGGGUACUCGAGCGGCGAACGGGUGAGUAACACGUGAGCAACCUGCCCUUAGCUCUGGGAUAGCUACCGGGAAACCGGAAUUAAUACCGGAUACGACCUAGGCCGACAUCGGCCAUGGUGGAAAGUUUUUCGGCUAGGGAUGGACUCGCGGCCUAUCAGCUAGUUGGUGGGUAAAGGCCUACAAGGCGACGACGGGUAG